AGAGUUUGAUCCUGGCUCAGGAUGAACGCUGGCGGCGCGCCUAACACAUGCAAGUCGAACGGUUAAAGCACCUUUUAGGUGUGUAUAAAGUGGCGAACGGCUGAGUAACACGUGGGCAACCUGCCCUCCUCUUGGGGAUAGCCUCGGGAAACCGAGGAUAAUACCCGAUACUUCAAUGUGGCCGCAUGACGACAUUGAGAAAGCUUUUGCGGAGAAGGAUGGGCCCGCGGCCUGUUAGCUUGUUGGUGGGGUAGAGGCCUACCAAGGCAAUGAUGGGUAGCUGGGUUGAGAGACCGACCAGCCAGAUUGGGACUGAGACACGGCCCAGACUCCUACGGGAGGCAGCAGUGGGGAAUCUUGCACAAUGGGCGAAAGCCUGAUGCAGCGACGCCGCGUGCGGGAAGAAGGCCUUCGGGUUGUAAACCGCUUUCAGCAGGGACGAGGCGAAAGUGACGGUACCUGCAGAAGAAGCCCCGGCUAACUACGUG
rnacentral:rRNA from 1 species